rnacentral:rRNA from 1 species
UACGAAGGGGACUAGCGUUGUUCGGAAUUACUGGGCGUAAAGCGCACGUAGGCGGAUUUGUAAGUCAGGGGUGAAAUCCCGGGGCUCAACCUCGGAACUGCCUUUGAUACUGCAAAUCUCGAGUCCGAUAGAGGUGGGUGGAAUUCCUAGUGUAGAGGUGAAAUUCGUAGAUAUUAGGAAGAACACCGGUGGCGAAGGCGGCCCACUGGAUCGGUACUGACGCUGAGGCGCGAAAGCGUGGGGAGCGAACAGG